rnacentral:lncRNA from 1 species
GAGAUUUUUUUGUAUGUUACGUAACACGCGCUCAAAACUAAUGCGUAUAAUAUAUCACUUGAGGUUAUGACUAAAUUCAAAAUUUUUAUUUUUCGAUACGUUUCUCAAUCGGCAAACAAUUAACUUAAAAAGUAUGUUUAGUGCUUUAUUUGUAAAAUAAUGCCAAAAUGAAGGCAUUUUAGAUGAUACGCCAAAGAGAAAAUGAUGUCUGAAGUUCAGUAAGUUUUGCUUAUAUGGCUGUAAAUAUGGCGUCAAUUUUAAAGCAUCGUUGAUAAUUAGUGUAUUUUAAUUGACAAUUUUUAACUAUUAUUUCAUGUUUCUCAACCGGCAGAUGCAUUUAAAAAGGUUGCUAACUCUAUAAACUAGAGGAUAAAGCUAAAACAAAGUAAUUUUGAAAGGAACGCCAAAAAGAUUUCAG